UGGAAGGGCCAAAUAACUCGCUGAGCCUCAGCAGGAAAAUAUCCCAUGAUGCUUGACUGCGCGCAGCAAGCAUAUGUUCACACACAGCCUAAAUGAACACUGUAAGCAGACUAUUUGAUUAUUGUAAAUUAUUCUUAUAAAAAUAAAUAUAUAGGAUGGAUUCUGUCCUUUUGGAUCCAUUGAAAUAGUUGAUCACUGCAACCGUGAUCAUUAUGAGCAGUUUCCACUUUAGUAGGAUAAUGCUCAACCUCAGUGUAGGUGAUAUUGGAUGACUUUGCUGUAAUCGCAGAUCAAGUACAGCACCAGACGGCUCGAUGGUUUUGGGCUCACAGACGGGGAAGGAAUGGAAAGUCUGCGGUCUUUCCUCCGAAGAUUUGCCAGAGUCACAAAGGAGAUGACUCCCUCGCACCGCCUGGACCUGUUGACUGAUGCCCUUCUGCUCUAUGGACGGAGGAAAUCCACUGACCCACGUUUGUCUACAAAAUUCUGUCCUGGUGGUUUAAGCUGAUGACACACAAAUUGGUGAGCAGAAGGAAACAAAAGUUGAGGUGCAGCUCCUGCAAAAAUUAGACAAGGCAGAGAAAAUAUCAAUCCUCGCUCAAGAAGACAUCUCAUCUGUCAUCAGAGAAGCACCAGUGUUUGUCUCAGAGCGAGACAUGGAGAGAUGGAAGAAAAGGAAGCUGGAGCUAGCCCAAGAAAAACCAAAGUCAAUAAACACUGUCUGUAGAUGGAAAAGGGACGACAUCACUAAGCUGAUUCAGUUCUACAUGUUCAAAUCUGGGACUCGUGAGUCACACAUGGAGGAUGAAACAGAGUAAGUAAGCAGUAUCAGUCUGUUACUGUUCUCUGAUUAACAGUCAUUUUUACUCUCUGACCAUUGUAGAAAGAGAACUCUCUGCUAAACAUGGAGAAAAAACAGAGCAUUCGGAGAAGAUGGCAAGAAUCUGAUUUAAUCUUCCAGUCCACCCUUAAAGAUGACCGUGAUGUCAGAGGCCAACUGAUCUGGAAGGCUAGAGCUGAAUCAAAGGAGAGAGCCGUCCUCCUCCAUCUGAAGAGGAAAUAUCCAGCUAAAGUGCUGUGGAUAAGUAGAUCAAUUUAAAACUCUGUAAAGGACCAUCAUAACGAAGGCGUGUCUCUUUUAUAACUUUACUUUAGAUGGGCAGGGCGUUGCCGUUAGACUGUCCAAGCAGGUUGCCAACUCCAACAAGAGACUGAGACAGGCAAUAAAAGAGUACAACAGCAUUCAGUGGCCACCACAGAUGAGCAUCUUCCCUGCAACUAUUGAUUUUCAAGAAUCAUGUGAUCCCUCUCGGCCACUCUACUUCUGUUUUGAUGACACUGUGGAAGAAGAUGAUGUUCCGAGGAGUCUGAAAAGGCGAGGGGUCGACGCCUUACAUAUGAAGACUCGGCCGCUGAGGAAAAGCACACGCUUUACCAGGAAAUGAGAACUGUAGCUGACCACCUCCAACAGCAGCACGCCUUCCUGUGUUCUGCCAUCAAUGACACAGAGCAGCCAGGUGCAAAAGCUGUCCUCAUCCAACGUCUCCAACAGCUGGAAAGAAAACUACAUCACGCCGCUACGAUGCUUCACCAACGUGUACCAGACGUCGUUCCUGCAACGCACGCUUACGUCACCCCAGACGACCCCCGCCUGUCUCGGGCCCUCCCCAUGUCAGCAUACAGACACUGGUAUACAGCGACGACGAUGAUAGCAACUAGGUCUGUAAGCACUCUAGACGAGGGGAGGUUUUCUGCUUCUGGAACGAAUACUUUGAGCAAAUUUGUACGUUUUGUUAUACAUAAUUAAAAAUGCCUCCUUAAUUCAAGACUAACUAACAUGCGUCAGACUCAGACAGUUCGGUUCUGUGUGUGUCUUCAUUGUAAGUGCUCUCAAUCAAAUUAAGGCUGUGUUGCUGAUCACUUUAUUAGUGGAACUGCAACAGAGUCCGUGUUUGUUUUUCAUGAGCUGUGAACUGUCCUGCCAAUUGAAACAAAAAAUGGUUGAAACUUGCU